CAGCCGCCGCGGUAAUACGUAGGGUGCGAGCGUUAAUCGGAUUUACUGGGCGUAAAGCGUGCGCAGGCGGCCCGUUAAGACAGGUGUGAAAUCCCUGGGCUCAACCUAGGAAUUGCGCUUGUGACUGGCGGGCUCGAGUACGGUAGAGGGGGGUGGAAUUCCUGGUGUAGCAGUGAAAUGCGUAGAGAUCAGGAGGAACACCGAUGGCGAAGGCAGCCCCCUGGGCCUGUACUGACGCUCAUGCACGAAAGCGUGGGGAGCAAACAGGAUUAGAUACCCUGGUAGUCAACGCCCUAAACGAUGGGUACUAGCCGUUUGGUGCGCGAUAGCGCUGAGUGGCGAAGCUAACGCGUGAAGUACCCCGCCUGGGGAGUACGGCCGCAAGGUUGAAACUUAAAGGAAUUGGCGGG
rnacentral:rRNA from 1 species